AAGCAGCGGGCGCUGGGCCUGGGAAUCACAGGUCAGUGGGCGGAACAAGGAUGUGUCCAGUCCGGCUGACCAGGCCCUUCCCCAGGGUCCCCAGCUCAGCUCCUGCCUUGAUGCCCACAUUCACCAAACGUGGCCUCGGCUUUAGUUCCGAAGUCCAGGUGGCCUCCUGGCACCUUGGAAGGCAUUAGAAAGGUUACAUGAUUCGCCGGGAAGUCAACAGCUGGCCCCACAUUUUCCUUAUAAAACUUUUUUAGAGGGAAAGUAGCUGGGAGGUUGGUGGCGUGCGGCUUGGCUAGCGAUCCCCAAGCAUUCAGUCGUGCUGGGCACAGGUCCCUUAGGCAGCCCCCGGCUCCUGCAGGGCGUGGGCCAGCCUGCCUGCUCACCAGCACGUUGUCCACUGGGCUCAUUUGUCCUUUGGCACCGAGGUUCUUCCCUGGAGACUCUGCCGGCCUUUUCCCCACCAGCCCCAGCUUGGCCAUCCCUCACCCGAGUGUCGGAGGCUCUCCAGCGUCUCUGUUCAUCCCCAGUCCGCCCAGCUUCCUGCCCCUCGCCAA
rnacentral:sRNA from 1 species